rnacentral:rRNA from 1 species
GACGUAGGGCGCGAGCGUUGUCCGGAUUUAUUGGGCGUAAAGAGCUCGUAGGCGGUCUGUCGCGUCUGCUGUGAAAAACUCGGGGCUUAACCCCCGGGCCUGCAGUGGGUACGGGCAGACUAGAGUGCGGUAGGGGGAGACUGGAAUUCCUGGUGUAGCGGUGAAAUGCGCAGAUAUCAGGAGGAACACCGGUGGCGAAGGCGGGUCUCUGGGCAGUAACUGACGCUGAGGAGCGAAAGCGUGGGGGAGCGAACAGG